rnacentral:rRNA from 1 species
CGCCGCGGUUAUACGAGUGCAAGCCCAAGCAGAUGAUCUACGGCGUAAAGCGUGGUUAGGGGCACCCCCAACUAAAGCUGAACACCCGCAGGGCCGUUAUACGCAUUCUGCCUACAUGAGAAACCCGAUCACGAAAGUAGCUUUAACCCAACCCGACCCCACGAAAGCUAGGGCA